rnacentral:rRNA from 1 species
ACUCCUACGGGAGGCAGCAGUGGGGAAUAUUGCACAAUGGGCGCAAGCCUGAUGCAGCCCAUGCCGCGUGUAUGAAGAAGGCCUUCGGGUUGUAAAGUACUUUCAGCAGUGAGGAAGGUGGAUAUGUUAAUAGCAUAUUCAUUUGACGUUAGCUGCAGAAGAAGCACCGGCUAACUCCGUGCCAGCAGCCGCGGUAAUACGGAGGGUGCGAGCGUUAAUCGGAAUUACUGGGCGUAAAGCGCAUGCAGGUGGUUUGUUAAGUCAGAUGUGAAAGCCCGGGGCUCAACCUCGGAAUUGCAUUUGAAACUGGCAAACUAGAGUACUGUAGAGGGGGGUAGAAUUUCAGGUGUAGCGGUGAAAUGCGUAGAGAUCUGAAGGAUACCGGUGGCGAAGGCGGCCCCCUGGACAGAUACUGACACUCAGAUGCGAAAGCGUGGGGAGCAAACAGGAUUAGAUACCCUGGUAGGCUCU